GGCGGACGGGUGAGUAACACGUGGGUAACCUGCCUGUAAGACUGGGAUAACUCCGGGAAACCGGGGCUAAUACCGGAUGGUUGUUUGAACCGCAUGGUUCAAACAUAAAAGGUGGCUUCGGCUACCACUUACAGAUGGACCCGCGGCGCAUUAGCUAGUUGGUGAGGUAACGGCUCACCAAGGCAACGAUGCGUAGCCGACCUGAGAGGGUGAUCGGCCACACUGGGACUGAGACACGGCCCAGACUCCUACGGGAGGCAGCAGUAGGGAAUCUUCCGCAAUGGACGAAAGUCUGACGGAGCAACGCCGCGUGAGUGAUGAAGGUUUUCGGAUCGUAAAGCUCUGUUGUUAGGGAAGAACAAGUACCGUUCGAAUAGGGCGGUACCUUGACGGUACCUAACCAGAAAGCCACGGCUAACUACGUGCCAGCAGCCGCGGUAAUACGUAGGUGGCAAGCGUUGUCCGGAAUUAUUGGGCGUAAAGGGCUCGCAGGCGGUUUCUUAAGUCUGAU
rnacentral:rRNA from 2 species